rnacentral:rRNA from 1 species
ACUAAGCAUAUCACUAAGCGGAGGAAAAGAAACUAACAAGGAUUCCCUUAGUAACGGCGAGUGAACAGGGAUGAGCCCAGCACCGAAGCCUGUGGCCAUUUGGUUACUAGGCAAUGUGGUGUUUAGGUCGUUCCGCAGAGACACUGCUCCUUUCUAAGUCCAUCAAUGAGUACGGUUGUACUGACAUGGCCCAUGGAGGGUGAAAGGCCCGUAAGAGAGGAGUUUUGGUAUGACAGUGUCUCUCUGGAUUGACCUUGGAGUCGGGUUGUUUGGGAAUGCAGCCCUAAGCGGGUGGUAAACUCCAUCCAAGGCUAAAUACAAGCACGAGUCCGAUAGCGAACAAGUACCGUGAGGGAAAGUUGAAAAGUACUUUGAAGAGAGAGUAAACAGUGCGUGAAACCGCUUAGAGGUAAACGGGUGGAGUUGAACUGCAAUCUCUGAGAAUUCAGCUGGCGAAGAUUAUUUGAGCUUGGUCAAAUUGGUAGGGCCCCGGGGUAUGCUUAGGUGCAUGUUCUGACCUUCGGGUCGGGAUGCGCGUUGCUCUUAUCAAGGGCUGCGCGCCUCGGGUGUCCAUCUGGCCUUGUCACCAGUGCACUUUCUCGGAGUGAUCACCACGACCGGCGUGCUGCUUGACUGUUUUAGUUAAAUCGAACGUUCAUCGUCCUUGUGGCGUUGGGUGGGCGACACGGCAGGUAACUGGGGGCUUGCUUCGGCUUGUUUCUCGGUGUAUGCUGGCUUUAACGGUUCUAUGCGGUGUGUCGGAGACGGCGGCUAGUAGUGUGUGCGUGCGUUUCUAUCUGUUGGCAUAUUCUGGUUUGGUGGCUGUGUGCUUGUUCAAACAGGCCCAGUUAUAGCCGGGGUGUGUCAGUGGGUGGUUGCGUGUGUGGCACUUUUCAGGGCCAACAGUCUGUGGUGUUGUGGUAGACUAUCCACCUGACCCGUCUUGAA